GGAAGAAUGGGAAGAAGGUUGCGUUGGAGAAGGGGUGGGGUCCUAGUAAUUUUGAGGAGAUGAAGGAGGGAUCCCGAAAGGAUGAUGUCCGGGAUAGAUCACAUAGAGCGAAGAGUAA